rnacentral:lncRNA from 1 species
AUCAAUAGUGCUGAGACCGGCAGCCACUAAGAGGCUGAGCUACCGACAAGCAGCUGCCAGCCCCUGGAUAUUUCUAGCACCUUCUUGCAGACCCCAUUGGAAGCCUUUGAGGAACUGUGUGAAUAUAACCUGUGCUGCUGGCUUCUACCCUGAGCAGUGAUCGGAUCCUGCAGUGCCGGAGCCUCUGAUUA